rnacentral:sRNA from 1 species
UCGUUCUUACUACUGGAUAGGAAUCCGGAAGAUAGGAGGAAUAUGGACGUGGGUGGGAACCAACAAAUCUCUCACUGAAGAAGCAGAGAACUGGGGAGAUGGUGAGCCCAACAACAAGAAGAACAAGGAGGACUGCGUGGAGAUCUAUAUCAAGAGAAACAAAGAUGCAGGCAAAUGGAACGAUGACGCCUGCCACAAACUAAAGGCAGCCCUCUGUUACACAGCUUCUUGCCAGCCCUGGUCAUGCAGUGGCCAUGGAGAAUGUGUAGAAAUCAUCAAUAAUUACACCUGCAACUGUGAUGUGGGGUACUAUGGGCCCCAGUGUCAGUUUGUGAUUCAGUGUGAGCCUUUGGAGGCCCCGGAGCUGGGUACCAUGGACUGUACUCACCCUUUGGGAAACUUCAGCUUCAGCUCACAGUGUGCUUUCAACUGCUCUGAGGGAACAAACUUAACUGGAAUUGAAGAAACCACUUGUGGACCAUUUGGAAACUGGUCAUCUCCAGAACCAACCUGUCAAGGAGAAUAACAACUGAAGAACAAAAACACAAUCUCUCGAUCUUUUUAAGUUUGAAAUAUGUGAUUCAGUGUGAGCCUCUAUCAGCACCAGAUUUGGGGAUCAUGAACUGUAGCCAUCCCCUGGCCAGCUUCAGCUUUACCUCCGCAUGUACCUUCAUCUGCUCAGAAGGAACUGAGUUAAUUGG